CGGCAGCGCCGUUUAUUUUAUUUUUAUUUUUUUGCUUGGAACCUCUCCCGAGCCCUUGCGGACGGCCACCUCCUCCCCGCUCUGCUCGCCGUCACCUUCCGUCGGUCUCCACCGUCGCCUCCUCCCCAUCAUCACAGGCGUCGGCCUUCCGCUUCAAGGGUGCUUUUCUUCACACAGAUCUCCGAAAAAGAGAGACGCCGACUUCUUCCCUUCUCUCUUCGCCGCCACCUCCCACCGGUCUCCACCGUCGUCUUCGUCACCGGCGUCGGCCUUCCCCCCGAUCUCCUUCAGCCCUAUAAUCUUGAGGGGAUGAUCACUUGAUACGAUCCAAUCCCAAUGUACCCUCUGUGAAGUUAGACAAGAAGAGAAAUCAAGGAAGCGGAGAGCUAAAAACCUAAACCCUAAUCUUUCACCAUUGAUUGAAGAAGGUGAAGAUGCCGGAGGUGCGGAUUGUGGCGAAGAAUUUCAUGGACAUGGUGGCAGCACUGCCGGCCAUGAAACUCGACAAGCUCUAUGGCAGCACCUUCAUCUGUGAAGCCGUCCUCAGGUCUUUGCCUCCUCUGGCUAAGAAGUAUGUUUUGCAAAUGCUAUUCGUUGAUUCCCCUGUAACAGCCAAGUCAAUGGAAGAAUGGCUCCUUGCCGAUGGAUAUUCCAAGCACAAAGUGUCAAUUGAUCGGUUACUUCAGCUGAGAGUCUUCCUUGAAGUCAAUGAUAGAAAAAAGGAGACCAGUUACAAGAUGAACACGAAGUUCCAGAGUAAUAUGCAAAAAUACUUGGUAUUUGGUGGAACUUUACCGAGAGAGCCAAUGCCCUUAAGUGUCACUGUGAGAUUGCCAACGUUGGAGGAUCUAGAGGCCUACGCUCUAGAACAAUGGGAGUGCUUCUUGUUGCAACUUAUAAACUCAGCUCAAGCGGAAAGAUUAACAAGCUUCAGUUCAUCAUUGAUGAGAGUUUUCCAGCGAGGACUUUUGAGCGCAAGGGAAAAUGAAGCUCCAAAGUUAACAGAGAAUGGCUUCCAGUUCCUUCUGAUGGAUACAAAUGCACAACUUUGGUACAUAAUAAGGGAAUAUAUCUCUUCCUCUGAGGAUCGUGGAGUGGAUCCAACGGAUUUAAUAUGCUUUCUCCUAGAGCUUAGUUUUCAUACCCUUGGAGAGGCAUAUAAUUUAAAUACCCUAACUGAUGUUCAAAAACAUGCUAUCAAAGACCUUGCAGACCUGGGAUUAGUCAAACUUCAACAGGGAAGAAAGGAAAGUUGGUUCAUACCUACUAAGUUGGCUACUAAUCUUUCAGUGAGCCUAUCAGAUUCAUCAUCACGCAAAGAGGGUUUUGUAGUUGUGGAGACAAACUUCAGGAUGUAUGCCUACUCUUCAUCGAAAUUACACUGUGAGAUUCUACGCCUCUUUUCAAGGAUUGAAUAUCAACUUCCUAACCUGAUUGUUGGAGCUAUAACAAAAGAAAGUCUCUAUAAUGCUUUUGAGAAUGGCAUUACUGCAGAGCAGAUUAUUUCUUUCCUUCAGCAGAAUGUUCAUCCUCGGGUCGCAACAAAGACACCAGCAGUCCCAGAGAACGUCACAGAUCAGGUGCUUUUUCACAAUUAGAUUGUGGGAAACUGAUCGAAAUAGGGUUGAGAUGAUUCCUUCACAUCUUUAUGAAGAUUUUCCAUCAAAGGACAUCUUUGAAGCAGUAUGCGACUUUGCAAGGGAGAUUGGGGGAUUGCUGUGGGAAGAUUCAAAGAAGAUGAGGUUAGUUGUCCGAGGGGAAUACCACCAACACAUGCGAGAUUUUCUUCGUCAUCAAAAGUAAAGAUACAAUUCCUUUCUUCUGUGAAGGAAUUUGUUGAGAAGCCCAUCAACAGAAAUUUUGGUGAAAAGUAAAUUUGUUUAUAAGAUUGAGAAUCAUUAUAUUAUUGGUACAUGAGAUGUUUAAGAUCUGCUUAUGAUUAUUGUUCAGAUCUGUGAAUCCAUUAUCUGUCAAGCACGGGAUGUAUUCUUACUGUGUUUAUUUUCAUGCAUUAUGAGAAUCUGUGUCCAUGCGUCAUGUCAAUAUCAUGACAAUUUUUGUCUACUAUAAAGAGCCUAUGCUCUGAAUUCAUGUUUGGUGCAAAUUAUAUGACAAGUUUGCUUAACGCAGUGCAA